rnacentral:rRNA from 1 species
UGGGGAAUUUUGGACAAUGGGGGAAACCCUGACUCAGCAAUCCCGCGUGAGCGAUGAAGGCCUUCGGGUGGUAAAGCACUUUUGGCAGGAAAGAAACGUCAUGGGUUAAUACCCCGUGAAACUGACGGUACCUGCAGAAUAAGCAACGGCUAACUACGUGCCAGCAGCCGCGGUAAUACGUAGGGUGCAAGCGUUAAUCGGAAUUACUGGGCGUAAAGCGUGCGCAGGCGGUUCGGAAAGUAAGAUGUGAAAUCCCAGAGCUCAACCUUGGAACUGCAUUUUUAACUACCGGGCUAGAGUGUGUCAGAGGGGGGUGGAAUUCCGCGUGUAGCAGUGAAAUGCGUAGAUAUGCGGAGGAACACCGGUGGCGAAGGCCGCCUCCUGGUAUAACUCUGCCGCUCAUGCACGAAAGCGUGGGGAGCAAACAGG